UUUGGAUGGGGAAGCGAUUUUUUUUAAUCUAAUCCGUCAGGUCUGAAAAGAAGCAGCGUCGGUUAUUAAAAAUGUGCAACCCCAUCCUUUUUU
rnacentral:SRP_RNA from 1 species